rnacentral:tRNA from 1 species
GGAGUUGUGGCUCAGUGGCAGAGCGCUUGCCUCACACACAUGAAGCACUGGGUUUGAUCCUCAGCACCA